rnacentral:lncRNA from 1 species
ACUGCCAUAAUUGCCAUAGCAGAAGAGCACAUCACAGCCCUGUCAGAUUCUAAGGAAUCUGCGCGUUCUGCU